ACAGCUGUGAAAUGUGCUUUCCAAAUAAGGCCCAUGAAGAUUGCCAAACAGACUUUCUUUCUCUUCCUCAGGCUCCUCAAGACCACUCCACGGAGAGUGAUCUUUCUAAGACACACAGCCCAUCCUAGCUGCUGUCCUCACAACAUGCUUCAAACAUCAAUUCAUCUAAGAAUACAUUUUCUGCAUGGGAUGAGCCCUCCUGCUCCUCUGGUCCCCAGAGCACUCACCAUUUUGUAUUUUCUGACUCCUGCGCAGUUUCUUGACAAGGACAGAGCCCAUAAUCUCUAUGCCUAAUGUCUGCUCUACUGCCUUGCACAUAGUGAGUGGCACUCAACAGAUGCCCUGUAGGAGUUUUGAUGGAUGGAUGGAUGAAUGAGUAAAUGAAUGAAUGAAUGAAUAAAGAUAAUUGGAAACACAA